rnacentral:lncRNA from 1 species
CCAAAUAACAAAAGAUAACAAAUUUUAUCUUCUUUUAAAACCUCCUAACAAACCCUCCAAUAAAAUAAAGCCACCUCACAUUAUUCUAAUCAUCAUCACCCUACCUACCCACGUGAACCCAUCCUAUUACUUGUUCACAAAGAAAAAAAAAGAAGAUAAACAUUCUUUAAAAGGAAAGGGGUCCCAUGAGGGAACCUUCCAGGAAGAUGCCAAGGGACCUUUUUGUUUUCAUUUUUUUUAUAUACAUAUAGGGGACCAUUUUUAUUUUUUAGGAGGAUCUUCACACAAAAAAACAUAGGCAGAGACCAUGGUUUCUGCUCUUCCUCAGGUCACAUAUCCACAGCUCCAUUUUUCUCCAUUCUUUUUGCUUCAUUUUUUAGUACACACACCGAUACACUAUCGUAUACACGCAUACACAUAGCUCCAAGGCACGAAUCACAACACACACACACACAC